rnacentral:misc_RNA from 1 species
GUCGAAAGCGUUCCUGAGUAGUGAGUAAGCUUAGGAACCUUUAAAGAAAUUUGGCCCGUAGUUGUAUGUCAUUCAUGUAAUGCAUGUGGGCAAGCCAAAAUGAAAGAAAUUGUUUCCUGAUAAGGUUUCCUCUCCAAAUGUCUAGAAAAAAUGGGUGAAAAAGGACAAAGGAUAACGAAAUAAAUGAGGUUGGUUUUACUUUAAGCAUCUCAUUGCCACUUUGG